rnacentral:rRNA from 1 species
AGAACGAACGCUGGCGGCAGGCUUAACACAUGCAAGUCGAGCGCCCCGCAAGGGGAGCNGCAGACGGGUGAGUAACGCGUGGGAAUCUACCCUUUUCUACGGAAUAACGCAUGGAAACGUGUGCUAAUNCCGUAUGAGCCCUUCGGGGGAAAGAUUUAUCGGGAAAGGAUGAGCCCGCGUUGGAUUAGCUAGUUGGUGGGGUAAAGGCCUACCAAGGCGACGAUCCAUAGCUGGUCUGAGAGGAUGAUCAGCCACAUUGGGANUGAGACACGGCCCAAACUCCUACGGGAGGCAGCAGUGGGGAAUAUUGGACAAUGGGCGCAAGCCUGAUCCAGCCAUGCCNCGUGAGUGAUGAAGGCCCUAGGGUUGUAAAGCUCUUUCACCNGUG